rnacentral:rRNA from 1 species
CCUACGGGGUGCUGCAGUGGGGAAUAUUGGACAAUGGGGGCAACCCUGAUCCAGCCAUGCCGCGUGUGUGAAGAAGGCCCUCGGGUUGUAAAGCACUUUCAGUGAGGAAGAACGCCUGGUGGUUAAUACCCAUCAGGAAAGACAUCACUCACAGAAGAAGCACCGGCUAACUCCGUGCCAGCAGCCGCGGUAAUACGGAGGGUGCGAGCGUUAAUCGGAAUUACUGGGCGUAAAGCGCGCGUAGGUGGCUUGAUAAGCCGGUUGUGAAAGCCCCGGGCUCAACCUGGGAACGGCAUCCGGAACUGUCAAGCUAGAGUGCAGGAGAGGAAGGUAGAAUUCCCGGUGUAGCGGUGAAAUGCGUAGAGAUCGGGAGGAAUACCAGUGGCGAAGGCGGCCUUCUGGACUGACACUGACACUGAGGUGCGAAAGCGUGGGUAGCAAACAGGAUUAGAUACCCUAGUAGUC